rnacentral:rRNA from 1 species
GAUGAACGCUGGCGGCGUGCCUAAUACAUGCAAGUCGAGCGAACAGAUGAGGAGCUUGCUCCUCUGACGUUAGCGGCGGACGGGUGAGUAACACGUGGAUAACCUACCUAUAAGACUGGGAUAACUUCGGGAAACCGGAGCUAAUACCGGAUAAUAUAUUGAACCGCAUGGUUCAAUAGUGAAAGACGGCUUUGCUGUCACUUAUAGAUGGAUCCGCGCCGCAUUAGCUAGUUGGUAAGGUAACGGCUUACCAAGGCAACGAUGCGUAGCCGACCUGAGAGGGUGAUCGGCCACACUGGAACUGAGACACGGUCCAGACUCCUACGGGAGGCAGCAGUAGGGAAUCUUCCGCAAUGGGCGAAAGCCUGACGGAGCAACGCCGCGUGAGUGAUGAAGGUCUUCGGAUCGUAAAACUCUGUUAUUAGGGAAGAACAAAUGUGUAAGUAACUAUGCACGUCUCGACGGUACCUAAUCAGAAAGCCACGGCUAACUACGU